UUAAUGAGUGGUUAUGAAAAGGGAAAUUAACAAGUGUCUUAGUUGGUAAGGAAAGUUAAAGUUUUCCCAAGCACAAAAUGAAAAAGUGAAAGCUCUAUGAAAAAUUAGAUGCAUUUCGACAAGACAGCAAUUAAACAAGAAACAAGGCAGAAGACAAGGCAAACAUUUCGACGGAAAUAAGAGGCAGCGUGGGUUGCACUUACACUUCAGAUUGAACAGCAAGGCAGCAAGAGGAAGCGUGGGUCAGCC
rnacentral:lncRNA from 1 species